AGACCCUACAGUGAUGGUGGCUGAGGGUGAAAAGAGGCUGAUUGAAGAGAUUGAUCCUGCUUCUCUUGGCUCCAAAUGCAAUUAAUUUUACCAAUUUUUCUAGAAAGGAUUACUGCUACUCAAAUCCUGAGGAGCCCUGGCUAAGUUAGGCACUGAAUAUCAGCCAGAUAUCCACUUCCACAGAGAGAUUCAAAGGAGGAACAACAACUAUCCCAUUUUUAAAAAGAUUGCAAAAGUGGAGUGAAAUACACUAUUUAGCAAUCCAAAUGCAAAUAAGACUCUGGGAUGUGUCUCAACAUGGCAGCUUUGAGCCAAGCAUCCAUCAGAACUUUCAGAAGUUGCUAUGGAAUCCUUUUAGAAUGUGUAUAUAAAUUCCUCAGGAGUUAGAAGAUUCACGUACUGACACAGAAGC